rnacentral:rRNA from 1 species
GGGGGGGGGGGGGGGGGGGGGGGGGGGGGGGGGGGGGGGGGGGGGGGGGGGGGGGGGGGGGGGGGUCGGCGGCGGGGGGGGGGGUGAUGCCUGGGGAUCUGCCUGGGGGUGGGGGAUGACGUCCGGAAACGGGCGCUAAUACCGCAUACGUCCUGAGGGAGAGAGUGGGGGAUCUUCGGACCUCCCGCUAUCAGAUGAGCCUAGGUCGGAUUAGCUAGUUGGUGGGGUAAAGGCCUACCAAGGCGACGAUCCGUAACUGGUCUGAGAGGAUGAUCAGUCACACUGGAACUGAGACACGGUCCAGACUCCUACGGGAGGCAGCAGUGGGGAAUAUUGGACAAUGGGCGAAAGCCUGAUCCAGCCAUGCCGCGUGUGUGAAGAAGGUCUUCGGAUUGUAAAGCACUUUAAGUUGGGAGGAAGGGCAGUAAGUUAAUACCUUGCUGUUUUGACGUUACCAACAGAAUAAGCACCGGCUAACUUCGUG